GUCUGGGUGCAGACAUUUUUUGGGGGCCCCCAGGUGGGCGUUGUCAUCUUUCUAACCCCUCCCCUUUGCAAUGACUCAACCUCUCCAUCUAGACUCACUCACUGACAGUCACACACUCUCACUGAGAGGCACACACACACUCAAUGAUGUGUCACACAUUGUCAGAAAGAUACUCAGACAGAAACAUUGACACACACUCUCAAUGACCGAUACACAAUCUCACCGAUUUGAAAUACUCACUGACAGAUGCAUAGUGGUACACAAAACAAGGAAGUCCAGCACUCAGCGUUUUAAAUCACAACAUACAUAAUCACACACACACACACUGCCUCAUGCAUACCUAGACAGUCACACACAAUACAAUACACCCACAUUCACACUGUCAUAUCGACACUGUAUCAGUCACAUACACUCUACAGUGUCACAUAUACACAGUCCUUGCUGUCAUGAACACUGCGAGGAGGAAAGGAGGCCAGGGUCCCCUGUGUCUAGUGGGAGGCAGGUAUUCAUUUCUGCUUUCCCUCUGCAGCAGCAGUUCUAGACUUGGUGAC